UGCCAGCCGCCGCGGUAAUACGAAGGGUGCUAGCGUUGUUCGGAAUUACUGGGCGUAAAGCGUGCGUAGGCGGAUCGACAAGUAGGGGGUGAAAUCCCAGGGCUCAACCCUGGAACUGCCUCCUAAACUCCUGGUCUUGAGUUCGAGAGAGGUGAGUGGAAUUCCCAGUGUAGAGGUGAAAUUCGUAGAUAUUGGGAAGAACACCAGUGGCGAAGGCGGCUAACUGGCUCGGUACUGACGCUGAGGUGCGAAAGCGUGGGGAGCAAACAGGAUUAGAUA
rnacentral:rRNA from 1 species